AUGAACGCUGGCGGCGUGCUUAACACAUGCAAGUCGAACGAAGCACUUUAUUUGAUUUCCUUCGGGACUGAUUAUUUUGUGACUGAGUGGCGGACGGGUGAGUAACGCGUGGGUAACCUGCCUUGUACAGGGGGAUAACAGUUGGAAACGGCUGCUAAUACCGCAUAAGCGCACAGCAUCGCAUGAUGCAGUGUGAAAAACUCCGGUGGUAUAAGAUGGACCCGCGUUGGAUUAGCUAGUUGGUGAGGUAACGGCCCACCAAGGCGACGGUCCAUAGCCGACCUGAGAGGGUGACCGGCCACAUUGGGACUGAGACACGGCCCAAACUCCUACGGGAGGCAGCAGUGGGGAAUAUUGCACAAUGGGCGAAAGCCUGAUGCAGCGACGCCGCGUGAGCGAAGAAGUAUUUCGGUAUGUAAAGCUCUAUCAGCAGGGAAGAUAAUGACGGUACCUGACUAAGAAGCACCGGCUAAAUACGUG
rnacentral:rRNA from 1 species